AUGUCUGUGGGCCUUUCUUCUCCGAUGGCAGAAGUGCUGUUCAUUCUCACAUUGCUCUUCAGGAAAGGUGAAACUGUAAAGAACAGACAUUCAGAUCCCACUCAUCCUUUUAGAUCCUGCUCUUCCCUCCUAAGUGGUUCAGCUUUCCCAUCCAGUCACCCAUGGGAGCUACCUCUGAGCCGAUGAGAGCGCUCGGCAGUGACCCUGACGGAAGCAACGUCAAUGUUCCGUGCAUAUAUCGAGAUGGCACUAUACCCCUCCCGGGAAUUUGGUAAGCCCUCUUGCUUUCCUCUGUUACCACAAAGAUCUCAUUUAGAGGACUACAGCAGAAAAUAUACCCCCUAGAAGUGAUCCUGCUGACUGACAGGGUACAGCUAAGGCUGGCUUCAGAAGAUGGUGGCAGAAGUAUCCAACCCAAGUUGGCAGUGGUGCCUUGGGGACAGGGGCCGGGGGUGGAUUGCAAUGGCUAAAAAAUGGGGGAACCUCUGUAGGUUUAGAGACUAAUAUAUGAUGUCAUCACUUGACAUAAAUCAAUGACAUCAUAUGAAAAAGGAGGGGACAGGAGGUACUUCUUGCCCCUUUGAUAAAUAAUAAUAAUAAUAAUAAUGUUGGUAUUUGUUAAGCGCUUACUAUGUGCAGAGCACAACAUGGCCUAGUGGAGAGAGCAUGGGCCUGGGAGUCAGAAGGAACCUGGAUUCUAAUCCCGGCUCUACCACUUGUGUGCUGUGUGACCUUGGGCAAGUCACUCCACUUCUUUAUACCUCAGUUCCCUCAUCUGCAAAAUAAGGAUUGGAUACCUAUUAUCCCUCCUAUUUAGACUAAAAAACCCCAUGUGAUAAGCUUGCAUCUACCCCAGCACAUAUUAGAGUGCUUGGCACAGAGUAAGCACUUAACAAAUACCGCAGUUAUUAUUAUUGUAUUUCCCUAUCUCAGAGCCUGGGUCCAGCUGACUCAGUACAACAGCUUCUCCAUCUUUUCAGUCAUUCCAUCAGUCAAAUCAGUGGUAUUUAUUGAAAUUCCUUUCUUGUAUCUAGACUCUACCAAGAGAUGCAUAGUGCUUCAAGAACUAAAGAACUGUUUAAUUCAGGACAAACCCCCAGGAGAGCCUUAAUUACUUCUAACUGGGAUUGAUUUUGCUCUGACAGCAACCCAGCCCUCUGGCCUCAAAAUCCAACAUGGAAUGUGGGGAAUGAUGAGGGCAGGGAGGCGCUUGCCUGGGCCAGGGUAAAUGAUGCUGUGAUCCCAGCCCUGAACAACUUGUAUUCCUAAUGUGUUUGUGCAUGUCUGGGCAUAAAACCUCGGACAUUCUGGAAUAGAAA
rnacentral:lncRNA from 1 species